GCUCGCCUAUUAAAAGGGAACGUGAGCUGGGUUUAGACCGUCGUGAGACAGGUCGGACUUUAUCUGCUGGGAGUGUUGGUCGCCUGAGGGGAAAGGGUCCCCAGUACGAGAGGAACGGGACGUUGUAGCCUAUGGUUUACCGGUUGUCCGAUAGGGCAUUUGCCGGGCAGCUACGCUGUCGUGGAUAAGAGCUGAAAGCAUCUAAGCUCGAAGCCAUUCCCGAAAAGAGGCGGCCGUUCCGCAACAGUAGACCUUGGUAACGAGGCCUUGGUUGUGGACGAGGGCUCCCAUAGAAGAUGGGGUUGAUGGAGCCGGGGUGUGCGCACCAAGAUCUUCGGGUCGAGGUGUUUAGCCUGCGGCUACCAAUCGCCCGAGGUGUCGGGCUG
rnacentral:rRNA from 1 species